UCAGGUUUCAGGAGGUGGCAGCUCCUGGACUAUUUCUGCAGUUUCCUGAACAUUUUCCAUGAAGUGCUGACUUGCAGUCUGCAGUCUGUAUCACUUAGAGCAAUAUUCAGCAUCACAAAGGAUCAGAUCCCAUAGCAGAAUCCAGCCAAUCUGGACUUACAACUUGUCAGCAGUAAUCCACUGAAAGCAAGGUUUAAAUCAAAGAUGUGUGAGAAGCCAUAUCUUUCCUUUUCCACUAGAGGCCACAGAAUAUAGAAACAUCUGAAUCUUUCCCUCUCAAGUCGGGAAAGAUUCAGAUCAGAUGGAGGGAGGCCAGGAAGAAGCAAUGAGAAUUGCAAGGAACUCAGAGUCCAUGGGAUGUCAGGAAAAAGCAACUGUUAAAGAAAACUGAGCAGGAGAAAAAUGCAGUCCUUCCACGUGAGACAGCCACAGGAGCUGGUGAAGCCCAUAAAAGAAAGCAAGUCAGUCCUGUCCUUGUCAUCUGCCAGCUCCCAGUGAAACUGGAU
rnacentral:lncRNA from 1 species